CCAGUCCUUUGAUGCCUGAGUGUUGCGGUUCAUGGUUCUCAGCGGCUGUUACCUUUGUGCCUUAUGAGUUUUAUCGUUUCACCUCCAAGAUUCUUCAUAAAGAAACCCCUGGUUCAUAAAUCCCUACGACUGGUUCUUCUGGCUGUUCAAGUCUGUGCUACAACCUGUCCGCCCUCCAAUGAAGUACAACUAACAAACCAUCAUCGCCGCCCAUUCUCUCUGGAUCUCCUGGCUUCAGUUCCAACCCCACCUGGACCCGGCACUCACCCUAGAAACCAGGUUCCAGCACCAGCAGAAUACCUCCCCCUGGUGGAUCAGUUCCAUUUCACUAAAUCCAGAUCUCCAGCCGUCCCAUACCCCGGGCAAAGAAGAUGC